rnacentral:rRNA from 1 species
GAUGAACGCUAGCUACAGGCUUAACACAUGCAAGUCGCGGGGCAGCAUGGGGGUUGCUUGCAAUACCCGAUGGCGACCGGCGCACGGGUGAGUAACGCGUAUCCAACCUGCCCUUCACCACGGGAUAACCCGGCGAAAGUCGGACUAAUACCGUAUGUUGUCCAUUGACGGCAUCCGAUUUGGACGAAAGGUUUGGCGGUGAAGGAUGGGGAUGCGUCCGAUUAGCUGGACGGCGGGGUGACGGCCCACCGUGGCGACGAUCGGUAGGGGUUCUGAGAGGAAGGUCCCCCACACUGGAACUGAGACACGGUCCAGACUCCUACGGGAGGCAGCAGUGAGGAAGAUUGGUCAAUGGGCGUAAGCCUGAACCAGCCAAGUAGCGUGCAGGAUGACGGCCCUAUGGGCCGUAAACUGCUUUUAUGCGGGGAUAAAGUGGCCCACGUGUGGGUUUUUGCAGGUACCGCAUGAAUAAGGACCGGCUAAUUCCGUG